rnacentral:rRNA from 1 species
UAGGGAAUCUUCGGCAAUGGACGAAAGUCUGACCGAGCAACGCCGCGUGAGUGAAGAAGGUUUUCGGAUCGUAAAACUCUGUUGUUAGAGAAGAACAAGGACGUUAGUAACUGAACGUCCCCUGACGGUAUCUAACCAGAAAGCCACGGCUAACUACGUGCCAGCAGCCGCGGUAAUACGUAGGUGGCAAGCGUUGUCCGGAUUUAUUGGGCGUAAAGCGAGCGCAGGCGGUUUCUUAAGUCUGAUGUGAAAGCCCCCGGCUCAACCGGGGAGGGUCAUUGGAAACGGGGAGACUUGAGUGCAGAAGAGGAGAGUGGAAUUCCAUGUGUAGCGGUGAAAUGCGUAGAUAUAUGGAGGAAAACCAGUGGCGAAGGCGGCUCUCUGGUCUGUAACUGACGCUGAGGCUCGAAAGCGUGGGGAGCAAACAGG